CAUUUUAAGGCUGUAGUCUUAUACACACUUGGACUGCUUUCAAGUCGAUCCCGGCUUAUGGCGACCCUAUGCAUAGGGUUUUCACGAAACCAUCGCAAACUCAGUUCUCCAAGUGCUGAUUCUUGCAUAGCCAAAACACCACCAGCCACCUACGGAAGGGAAGUAUCAGCCUCCUGGGGGAAUCCUCAAGGACGUGGCGGCACUCGGGCCUAUUUCCUCCUUGCUGUGAGAGACAAUUGCUGUGCGGAACGUUACCAGUGUAUCUGGCGGAAGAGUCCGCUAACCUUCCUCCUGUUCUGGUGCUUUGCGCCUCAACAGCCAAUUUUCCUCAGCUUUCCCCUCCUUAAUCUUCCCCCCCCCCGGCGCAACCAAUCCCUAACACUGAAAAUACGGGG